AACGAACGCUGGCGGCAGGCUUAACACAUGCAAGUCGAACGCAUCGCAAGAUGAGUGGCAGACGGGUGAGGAACACGGGGGAACAUCCCUUUCAGUUCGGAAUAACUCAGGGAAACUUGAGCUAAUACCGGAUACGUCCGUGAGGAGAAAGAUUUAUCGCUGAAAGAUUGGCCCGCGUCUGAUUAGCUAGUUGGUGAGGUAAUGGCUCACCAAGGCUACGAUCAGUAGCUGAUCUGAGAGGAUGAUCAGCCACAUUGGGACUGAGACACGGCCCAAACUCCUACGGGAGGCAGCAGUGGGGAGUAUUGGACAAUGGGCGCAAGCCUGAUCCAGCCAUGCCGCGUGAGUGAUGAAGGCCUUCGGGUUGUAAAGCUCUUUUGUCCGGGAAGAUAAUGACUGUACCGGAAGAAUAAGCCCCGGCAAACUUCGUGCCAGCCGCCGCCGUAA
rnacentral:rRNA from 1 species